ACGUAGGUGGCAAGCGUUGUCCGGAAUUAUUGGGCGUAAAGCGCGCGCAGGUGGUUAUAUAAGUCUGAUUUUGAAGUUCGGGGCUCAACCCCGUGAUGGAUUGGAAACUGUAUGACUUGAGUACAGUAGGGGUAAGCGGAAUUCCCAGUGUAGCGGUGGAAUGGGUAGAUAUUGGGAGUGACGCCAGAGGCGAAGGCGACUAACUGGGCUGUAACAGACACUGAGGCGCGUAAGCUAGGGGAGCAAACAG
rnacentral:rRNA from 1 species